rnacentral:rRNA from 1 species
AGAGUGAACGCUGGCGGCAGGCCUAAUACAUGCAAGUCGAACGGCAGCACGGCAGAGCUUGCUCUGUGGGUGGCGAGUGGCGGACGGGUGAGGAAUACAUGGGAAUCUGCCCAGUCGUGGGGGAUAACGUAGGGAAACUUACGCUAAUACCGCAUGCGCCCUUCGGGGGAAAGCCGGGGACCUUCGGGCCUGGCGCGAUUGGAUGAGCCCAUGUCGGAUUAGCUAGUUGGCGGGUAACGCCCACCAAGGCGACGAUCCGUAGCUGGUCUGAGAGGAUGAUCAGCCACACUGGAACUGAGACACGGUCCAGACUCCUACGGGAGCAGCAGUAGGGAAUAUUGGACAAUGGGCGCAAGCCUGAUCCAGCCAUGCCGCGUGAGUGAAGAGGCCUUCGGUGUAAAGCUCUUUGACCGGAAAGAAAGCGUUACGGUCAAUACCCCGGAGUCCUGACGGUACCGAAGAAUAAGCACCGGCUAACUUCGUGCCAGCAGCCGACG